UUCAUUGCAGCACUAAUUCAAAUAAACUGCUAUCCAAGCGAACUCAUCUUGAGUUAGCUUGUCAAGUGUGAGCGUCAACACAAUAAGACUCUGGAGCUGCACAGAGUUACACUGCAGAGUAGCUAAGAUUGUACCCUCAUGUUACAAACACGUGAUGACAAAUCUGCCUUAAAAUAUUCUUCUCUCUCUCCCUGCUGCAGCUGAUACAACUGUUUGUGUGAUGGGACUCUAAAUUGUGUCUGAGAGAACCUGCACUGGUGACAAUGGCUUCACCUUCUACAGGAGAGGAAGGGAUGACUGUCUGGGUAUAGGAACCUCUUCAGCUGGAUCUUCUGGCGAUGGAGUAGUACCAUGGAACCACUGCCUGGUGGGCCAGUGAGGACAAGCCUGGGAGCUCAUAGAUAAUUGCAAAAUGAGCUUCUGUACUCUGUGCUAUCAGUCUGCCCCUGCCCUGGUGGGAAGACCAUUACCAGCACAUCUGUAUCUUUGCUUCUUACUGCCCCCUCUGGGGUGUACUCCCUCUCUUCCCCUGUCUUGUGUGAAAUCCCAGGAUCAACCAUCUUGUGUUCCUCAGUUCAACAAUUUUUAACAACCAUGGCUCUUCAGAAGCUCCAGACUUGCAGAUUUCAUACAGUAUCAGUGAAGACACCCAACAUUGUUACCUAUAGAGCAACAGAAGGUAAAAGAGAUCACAGCCAAAUAUUUAUUUGCAUUAUUAGACAGGGAUGCUAAAUCUGUCAGGAACAGAAUGUAUAACAGUGCUUACAGGUAUUUCUGUUGUUGGUUUGAAAAGCCGCCAAAUGGUAUACUCAGCUCUUAUACUUUCAUUCCAAAAAUAAUUAGGAAUUUUUUUUAUAUUAAAAACUGCUACUUAAAUAUUUUUCAGCCUGUAGAAUGAGUAAAUUACAACCAAGAGUUUAAAAAAACCCCCAUGGAUUGACAAGCUCUCUAGGCCUCUGAUGUUAGUAUAUAACAUUAGAUAAUAUCAAUAAACAUCAAACUCUUUCACAAGCUUGCUUUUAAAAGCUGGAGUUCCUAACUUUGGGGACAAAAUAUUGCUCUUUUGAAUGCCAAAACAUAGUUCUUCCUGUCUUCUCUGUCGUGAAUGAGGAAUGAAUGGACACAUCUUCCCUGUGGAAGUUGUCACAGAAGUAGGGUCUGUGGUUAGGGUUGCGAUUUUGGAACUUAUUUUACUUUCUAAUAUGUUUACUGUAUUCCAACCCUGCUCAUUAAUUAGAGAUGCUUGGAGUAAAUGUGACUCGCCAGCUGUAUGGUCUUGCCUGAAGAGAUGGGAUUUCAGAAUUUUUCUGUGGUUGAUUUCCAGUUACUACUAAGGGAUGACAUGAAAAAGAUUUCCUGGAAACUGUGAUCAUCUGAAGGGAGGGAAGGUAGACUUGGAUCUUAGUAUAGUGGCUAAUGUUCCCUCUGGCGCAGACAUGAAACCAUCUACGAGGAACUACCUCCUGCACCAGCUAAGACACAAAUGCUAGUAUAGCAUGAACAGACCACUUGUAAAAUGACAUUCAAAGCAGCAUAUGAUAUCAGCAUUUUGUGAUUUACACUAGCUGGCUAUUGGUUUUUGGCUGAAGUUACCACUUUUCCUCAACCGCGGUGUACAAAGGAAUUGAAUCAGUCACCCUCUAUUCAAGGGAAAGUGAAGUUCAUUGUCCUUCAGAGGACCUCAGGUUUGAAACCUUCUGGGUUAAAAAGUCUUCCCAAUCUAGGCAGUAGCACAGGACCUGUAACAGUACCUGGUUCUCCAUAGAGGUAGUAGUGGCAUAAGAGCUGAUGUCUUAAGACAAAAAGGGAAAUUGCAGUCAGUGUCAUUAGUGGCUGUCUUCACUGGGAGCAGAAAGUAAGAGUAGUUAAAGAUGUUAAACUUAAACUAUAUUCCUGUACAUUUAACUUUUAACUAACUGGAGCCUAAGGUGGCAUGUUCUUGCAUGUAUGUAUUUGCUAUGGAUGGAAAAACUGCUGACACUUGGGUCUCCUUGAAAUCGAUAACAUGGCUCCCAUUGUCUUCAGGGGGAACAGAGGCCAAAGCUGCAAAUCCUAUCAGAUAAUUAUAAAUGAAACAAAGAGUUGCAGUAUGCAGUAAAACCCUGCAUGGCUGUGAUUCAGGAAAGCACUCAGUGUUCUUUGUUGGGGAAGUAAAUCAUGUAGAAACAGGAAGAUAUUUUCAAUGCUUUAAAUGCUCCUCAGGAAAACUAAACACAAUUUUGACUGUGCAGGUUUAUGUACUCCAUACCUUCAUGGAAUUUUUCCACCUUUGAGUUUUUUUGGUUUUUUAAUCACAAAAAGCUUGUUUCUUCUUUUAAUGUGUUCCAGUGUGCAUUCAGCUGAUCACUGAAACCCCAAGAAGGCAACAGCUGUUGUGAAUCUAUAAUCAGAUUGCCCAGCUAAUUAGUGGUUUUAAAUGGACUUGGGUUUUUUUUCCCCUCUUCUUCUUGUGAUUUCAGUGUCAGUGACACUGUUAAUAAAUUCUUAAUGAGGAAUAAUGUUAUAUAAAUGUUGGGGAAACUAGGUCUUCUUUUAUAUUCAAAGCAUAGCAUACAAUUAAAAUGUACCAUAGAUAGAAUCAUAGCUUCAUUUAACUCAUCUUAACCUACCCACUCUGAGCUGAAAUGAGUAUAUCCUGCUUUUCAUUUGAUGUGUCCUGUUGUGUUAAAUGUACCAUACUGAUCUAAAAGUGGCAAAUUCUGUGGGUGCCCAGAGUUGUUAUCAGAGCCAGACGCUGCAUGCUUGCAAGACAUGCCUCCACACAGCUCCUCUAGUUAGAAGAAAAAGAAAUUUAUAAAAUGAUCUCACUUGUCCUUUCAAAACAGGUUUCUAAUCCAUUUCCUUGCAAAGAAACCAAUGAAAACAGAAUUUUCCCAUUAAAGCUGACAAUCUAUUACUCAUUUUUUUUCUGUAAUGUUUCCUGGUUUGUUUAUGGUGUGAUCAUAGUCAUUCAGGGAAUAACGGUGCAAUGUGUAAGGAAUUUUUAAAAUUAGUUGGAAAUCAUUACUUUUAAAAACUGUUAUUCAGGAUCACUUCUCAGCAUUAAUUUUUUAAGUAUACUGAUUUUUUCCAAGGGUUUUCCCCCCAAAUUGUGGCUUUUUAAGAAUGUGAUUUUUAAAGAUAGAGUGUUAUAUUUAUGAAUCACUAACCAGAGGUUGAAAUCUUCUGAAAGCCUUCCUCUGAUAACCUCUGUCAAGCAGUGCUGGCAAGUAGGGAAAAAAAAUCCAAACAAAAAAUGGAAACCCUGCAGAUUUUUAAAGCACAACUAAAUGUUUAACAGUUUGAAGUGUAAAUGAACCUAAUUUCUUCAGUAAUGUGGAAUUUUUAAGGAAAUAUAUAUUUAUGGUAAAUUCUCAUUUUUUAGAAAAUGGACGUGUGUCAUCAGCUAUCUUUCCGGUGGAAAAGUCCUGCUGUAUUGUGUGUGAUGUUAACUGGCCUCAGACCACAGAGAAUUAUUUAUCUCCUGUUUACUGCUGGGGGAGGAAGGCUACGUAAGCUUCUGCUUAUCAUGCCAGGGCCCCACAAGCCAUGAAUCAGUCUCCCUAUAGGAAAUAAUGACAUUUACUUUAGAGUUCAUAAUGUUUCUGAAAAUACUAAAUAUUAAUUUAUUUUUUAGCCUUCUGUUUUCUGAGACUUUAGCACUUUCAUUUUCCAUGCUUCAAUCUGCAACUCUGAGGAUAUGAAUAAUUUUUAAAGGGGAAGUGGAGUUUCUUCGUUGACCACAUAGAUGCAAGAGCUGGGCUUUUAUGAAAGAUAAUCCGAUAUUAUGAAACUAGUGAUGAACUCAUCAGAAGUGGUGUGGCUGAGAGGACAGCCUUAGAGCAUGAGAAGUACCAGGUGUUAAUGAACAGAAUGAAGGGAAGGCACCAAGCAAAUGUUUUCCUACAUGCACCCUUUUAAACAUGAUUGGCUUGUCUAUAUUGCUGGGCAGACAUUUAGCUUAUUUACCUAAGGUGAGUCUAUCUGAUGAUUUCUAUCCACUUACCACCUGUACCCUCCUCAAAUCUUUUAUUUCUAUGGUCUUCUAGAUAAAGAUUUGGUACUUCUGUGUCUCUGACUAAGGUUAUAUACAUGCAUAUGAGUAUAUGCAGUAACAAAGGUAUACACACUUUGAACUUAUAUGCAGGGGCCAGAGCUGUGGAUCAGAAAGGGAAACAGCUUUUCCUUUCUUUUGGAAGUGAUAUCCCAGCUGUUGUCAUUGCAAUUGUUGGAGCGGUGCCUCUGCGACUCAGUGGGUAAGCCCUGCCAAUCUAUUAGCUAAGUUGUUUAGCAUGGACUUUGAUUAACUUUUGUUCAAAUUUAACUUUCUCUUGGAAAACCUAGCUGUUUGUUUUCUGUUGUUGCUACAAUUGUGGCUAAUAUCUUGAGAUCUGCAUUAUAAAAAUGAAUAAAUAAAUGAUUGUAUUGAUAUGGAUUUUUGUUUGGCAUCAGCAAGCUAUAUUUAUGACUACCAACAGCUGAAGCAGCCAGAUGUGUGUGUACGUGCGUGGUUUUUCAACCACAUAGGCUUUUGCACAAUAAAUCCAUUAGUGCUGAUUGCUUCCCUUUCUCUAAAAGGCCCUGCUUUUUCACUUCAUUUUGCUAUCUCUAACUCUAAUUCAGCAAAUAGCUUUUAGUAAAAUCCUAAAGAGUAGGACAUUUGUGAAUUAUAUAAUUUAAUGCGUUAGUCACAAAAUAACAGAUGAACUUGUUGAGGGUGAGUCAUGACUUUAUUGCCUGCAUCUUCUAGAUGUAAAACGGAUCUUUGUGGCUUUUUUUUUUUUUUUUGCCUCCAACCUUCUUUAUUCUGUUCUGAAUGACAGAUACCUCAUCUGCUUUAUGGCUAGGAAGACAUACUGGAUGAAAAAAGGACCUGCUUUCUCUCUGGGUUUAGUCUGCAUUUUUAAUUGUAUUUGCUCAUUACUACCUGUGAAACCUCACCCUUCUGUUUUUUUCUGAGCAAGUUGUAAAUAUGGCUUCAAUAUACAUUAUGUUUAACGCAAGGACAGUCUUUCUAGCAUUUUUCACCAGGUCUCAGAGUGGCUCAUGCACACCUUGCAAAGCAGGGAGACCACCCAUGGAGUCGGAGGGUCCAGUUGCCACUGGUGGCAUGUCAGAGCAGAGCCAGGACUGGGAAGCAUGUGUGGGACGGUCUCUCGGUGGCAGAAUGUCCUCUUCUCUCAAAGGCAUAACUUCAGUUUCCAAAUUAUAAGUCGUUUUAUGGACAUUUAUCACCUUGGACUUGAAACGGAACCCGCAGCUUAAAAGUCAACCUUCUCUCACAACAAUUUGUAUGCUACUUUGGAGUGUGGCAACUGAAGGCAGCUAGAGGAAGAAGUGAUUUCCCCAUGACCCCGACUAUUUAUUUCGUACAUUUACCAAUGUGUUUGUACAUUUCUCAGCACCCAAAGCUGCACGUUGUGACUAAGCUGUUACAACACCUCCCUGCCAGCAGAAGGAGAGCUCUUCCUUCCUCUUCGCAUCCCUCCCACUGCCCAGUCCCCAGCUCUCCCUUCUGCCUGCCGCUACU